rnacentral:lncRNA from 1 species
ACUAUCGAGAUUGGAUAAUUCCGAUAAUCCACGAGUAACUAUGUAAGAAUCUGUUUCUCUAAUGAUUAAACAGAUUUUAUGUUAUACGAAAAUCCCCUUCAAGUGCCUUUCACAUUCCAUGAGGUUGUCAAUUUCAUUAACACCUGUUAGCAUAUUUUGAUUCAUCCAGUUAGCUAAAAAGGUUAUGACCUUUAAAACCAUCCAAUGAUCUUUUGAGAUCACUGGCAACCACACGUUGAUUAAAUUUUUUUAUACAAUGGGUUCAAAAAUUUUUAUUGGUCUAAUGCUUCUUUCUCAAAACGCAAGCACAAGGAUGUCAUCUGAUGAAAGUAUUUAAUUUAUGGGAAUUAUGUUGUUUUAAAUUUUAGCUACAAAGUCCCUUUAUACAGUGGCUUCAUAAUAAUUUGUUGGGUACUAUUUUUUUUUCUUUUAAGGGCGUACUUAGGUGAUCUAAGGUAAAAUUAAAUAAAUCAAGAAUUCAAAAUUAAUACUUUAAGCUGGAAGAGUAUUAGUUAAGGAUCAAAACAAGCUAACAAUAUUGAUAGGUCAUAGAGCUCCUUUUCGAGAUAUUUGAUUUAUAAAAUAUGGCGGGAAAAGGCGGACUCAGACUUUUAUCUUAUAUUUGCAUUGGUAUUAUUUGGGUCUCAAAUCAAAAGAAAGAAAAUCAAGAAUCUGCUUAAAUUUUGUCAAAUGACCUUUUAUGAGCUCUUUAGUCUUAUGUUAAAAGAUAAAUAGUUGUCAUGGGUCAAAAUAUUUUACCUUGCAUCGUAUAGAAAAACACUGAGGAGUCUGAACAUUUGACACUUAUUCCAAAACCUCACCUAAGUACAUCCUUAAUGACAUAGUUUUGAAAAGCUUGUAUAUAUGGAAUUGUCUUCCCCGCUAAAAUGCAAACUUUUCAACAGACUUUUAAUAGUCUGUACAUAUGUUGUGCAGGGUUAGGAGAGGGUAGAUACAUCAAGAUUGAUUAGCAGAAGUUCCAAAGGAAUCUAAAGGAGUAAGUUUGGUAAGGGCCAUAUUUGGCCCCAAUUAUAAAGUUUAUAGUUACAAGACAAUAAAUGUUUCAAGUUGCCUUAAAGACAUGUGAGAAAGUUAAAUCUGUUUUUGUCAAAGUUUAAUUCUAACACGUUGAUUUUAACAUCCCAAAAAGAUCAAAAUAUGGGAUAUUUGUGAAAUUUGACAAAACCAGCUGGAUUUCAAUCAAAUUAAGGAUCAGGAAACAUAGAGCGCAGGCGUCGACAAACUUAAUAUUCAAAUAAGACAUGUGAAAUGUCUUCACAAACAUUAUAUUAAAAGAUCUUUGUUGUCGACGUAUGCGCUCUAUGUUUCCUGUCCCCAAUAAUCUAUGGAAAUUUAUCCAUUU